GAGGGUGGACUUUCUCCUAGUAGGCAGGUUUACAAUGCAGUCUCUACUACUUACAACUGUCUAGCUGAUAGUAAAUAGGCAAUUUAUGGUAAAGAAACCAGCUUCCAUCAUAAUUGUCUUGGUACCAGAAACUUCCUUGGAAAUCUGCUGAUGCUUGCUGCUGCCUGGGUUUGACCUGUUUGUGAGCAAGCUCUUGUGAUCUAAGGGUUGCUGCAGUAGAAACAAAUGAUAGUUGGAGCCUUGGACUUCAUUUGUGAGAGCAGUGAAGAGUGUGGGUGUGCAGUGCUGCUGCAAGGACCCCAAACCAUCUACUGCCAUCCCCUCCCUCUGGUCCUGGUGGGCACCUUGGAAACUCUUUGCAACCAGUUUUUCUGGGAGUUGGGGAGGAAGAGUCUGUGGUUCUGCAGAUCUGCUCCUGGACUUCCUUUAAUACAUUGUUAAAAAGGAAAAGGAUUCAUUCUUCUGGAGCCUGAAAGGGCUUAUGUACAUUGUGUAUUAAAAUGCUGCAAUGUGUUUUAUUCAUAAUACUAAUCUGGAGAGGAGGUGCUUUGUAUUUGAUAGCCUUUAUAAAUAUAUACGGCAUACCUAAGUGUUUGUGCAAGAAUGUUAGAAACAGUCAUACUUACCUGAUCACUAACUGUGGCAUGACAGAUGUCUAAUACUUGGACUUGUUAACCCAAAGUAUUUCACUGUCAUUUUUUGUGCAUGAAUAUGUAAAUUUUUGCCAUUUUUUUCAGAUAUAAGUGGACACUUCAUCAUGAUUGUAAUAUGAACAGAUAUUUGUUUUUAAAUGUUGUGGAAAAGGGGUUGAUUCAGCAUGUACAUACUGAAAUUGUAUGUAAGAUUUAUCUAUGUGGUCUAGGAAUACCGUUGCUUUGUUUGGCCCUGUUCCAAAUAUUCCAAACUUCAGUGUGUUUAAAUCCAAGGGUGAUGAUAAAAUGAAGACCAAUAUGCUUAGCUGUAUUAUCAGAG